rnacentral:misc_RNA from 1 species
AAAAAGAGUAUUCAAGAUUCUGGUAAGUUUUACAGAUUAAAUUAUUUUUACAAAUAAAUUUCUGUUCAUCUUAUUUACUGGUUCUAAAAAUCUCAGUUACUUCGUGUUUCUGAAUGAUUUAUCACAACCAGUAAUUUUUGAUUUUCUUAACACAGAUUGGCAACAGUUCUUCAGUUCGUCGAAGUUAAAGAAGUUUGAGGUACCGCUAUUUCUUUAAUAGGUUUA